CUGUGGCUAAUGGUGUUGUGUCUGGUGUCCGUGGUAAACGCCCACGUUGAGAUUAUCAUUCCCAGGGGGGACUGAGAAAGGUUUUGCCAGCCCAAGCCCUCGGGGUGUGAGCGACACACUUCAGGGGUCAAGUGUCCUUCAGCAUGUGUCAGUUUUCAAGUUCAACAAGUAAACUUCCUGAAGUCUUCUCUCAAGGAGGCCAGAGAGCCUCCUCAUUUUCAGCAGAGCCCGAGCAGAGGAUCUGUCGCUGGGGGAUUCGACUGAAGUGUGAAGAGGGGUGUAUGCAGGAGACAUGCUGAGAAUUCUAAAUAGUCCCCCAGCCAGCUCCCCGGGCCCCCGAAGAGGAACCAGCGGCAUGAUGUCACACACCUGUUUGGCUGGAGGCUGCGGCCCGGCGAUGCUUGCAGCCGUGGGUGUCGCGCUGGCACCCCUCGGCCUCCCCCAACCCCACCUCACCCCACCCUUGUCGCUGCCUGCUACGCCCCGUGGAUGUGUCAAAAUGGCAGAUGAUGGUUGGGGUGUGUGCAGCUGCUUGGGAAGAGGAGUGCCAAGGGCGCUCAUUUCCUGCGGAAACUCUUGGAAGGCAAAAGCAACAUCCUGAGUUGGUGAGGAGACAGGAGAGGUGCUGACAUGCCGACAGGCAGGGGAUCCUGGGAAAAGCCACAGACAGGAAGAGCCUGACUGACUUUGACCCCUGAGGUCAAGGCUGGGGGCUCGGCAACUGAAAGAUGUUUCCAAGCCACACUCAGACUAUCAUAGAGUUUUACAGGAAAUAGCUUAGAAAUACUGUACGCUGUGAAAUGUGGGAGAUCUUUUUAUUGCUUGCUCUUUUGUUUUGCUCUCUGUGAUAUAAAAUGCAUUU